UCUGUGAAAUUUGAAAAAAAAAAUCAUGGCGGAGAACGAACGGCGAGAAGAUGAUAGAAAAGGUAAUUCGGAGUAGCUUCGAACGAAAAUUCCUUCUCCGUGACGCUCACUUUGAUUCAGCCUUUCUUUUCCAACUUUCUUCAGAGAAAUUUUAUCUGCCAUUAGAAACGACGUCGUUAAGGUCGGUUUGAGCCGAGUACGUCAUCGAAAGUGAGCAAUUUUCAUAGUUUCCCGAGAAAAAUGAAUGGAGUCAGACUGAAGAGAGCUCAGAUGACAAUGAAGGUCCCGAGAUUUCGAAAUGGGAAUCAAUAAUUUGGCUUUUGAUUAUGACUGCUUGGAUCUCAAUCCUAUCUGAAUAUUUAGUUCAUGCAAUAGAGGGAGCAUCUAUUGCAUGGAAUUUGCCACUCGAAUUUGUUAGUGUUGUUUUGCCAUGAAAGACAAGCUUGACAAUUCAUAAGGAGUGGCAAUAGGAUCAUCAACUCAGAUUUCUAUGUUUGGGAUUCCUUUUUCUGUGCUCAUUGGUUGGAUUCCGGGGCAACCUAUGGACUUAAACUUUCAGCUUUUUGAGACAGCAAUGCUUUUUAUGACUGUAUUAAUAGUAGCCUUCAUGCUGCAGUAGUAGCAUUUUAUGACUGUAUUAGAAAGUUUUACUUGAAAUACAUUGGCAGCUUAGUAGCUGUUUGUUGCGAGGUAUUAGUAUGCGACUUGAGUUCCCGUUUCUUUACAUUUUAGAUGCUUAAUGACAUUGUUGAUAUGAUGUACUUUUUCUUAAAAAUGUUAGCUUUUAUUGAAGUCAAAGUUGUAUCA